rnacentral:rRNA from 1 species
UGUGAGGUUAAGCGACUAAGCGUACACGGUGGAUGCCCUGGCAGUCAGAGGCGAUGAAGGACGUGCUAAUCUGCGAUAAGCGUCGGUAAGGUGAUAUGAACCGUUAUAACCGGCGAUUUCCGAAUGGGGAAACCCAGUGUGAUUCGUCACACUAUCAUUAACUGAAUCCAUAGGUUAAUGAGGCGAACCGGGGGAACUGAAACAUCUAAGUACCCCGAGGAAAAGAAAUCAACCGAGAUUCCCCCAGUAGCGGCGAGCGAACGGGGAGCAGCCCAGAGCCUGAAUCAGUGUGUGUGUUAGUGGAAGCGUCUGGAAAGGCGCGCGAUACAGGGUGACAGCCCCGUACACAAAAAUGCACAUGCUGUGAGCUCGAUGAGUAGGGCGGGACACGUGGUAUCCUGUCUGAAUAUGGGGGGACCAUCCUCCAAGGCUAAAUACUCCUGACUGACCGAUAGUGAACCAGUACCGUGAGGGAAAGGCGAAAAGAACCCCGGCGAGGGGAGUGAAAAAGAACCUGAAACCGUGUACGUACAAGCAGUGGGAGCCUCUUUAUGGGGUGACUGCGUACCUUUUGUAUAAUGGGUCAGCGACUUAUAUUCUGUAGCAAGGUUAACCGAAUAGGGGAGCCGAAGGGAAACCGAGUCUUAACUGGGCGUUAAGUUGCAGGGUAUAGACCCGAAACCCGGUGAUCUAGCCAUGGGCAGGUUGAAGGUUGGGUAACACUAACUGGAGGACCGAACCGACUAAUGUUGAAAAAUUAGCGGAUGACUUGUGGCUGGGGGUGAAAGGCCAAUCAAACCGGGAGAUAGCUGGUUCUCCCCGAAAGCUAUUUAGGUAGCGCCUCGUGAAUUCAUCUCCGGGGGUAGAGCACUGUUUCGGCAAGGGGGUCAUCCCGACUUACCAACCCGAUGCAAACUGCGAAUACCGGAGAAUGUUAUCACGGGAGACACACGGCGGGUGCUAACGUCCGUCGUGAAGAGGGAAACAACCCAGACCGCCAGCUAAGGUCCCAAAGUCAUGGUUAAGUGGGAAACGAUGUGGGAAGGCCCAGACAGCCAGGAUGUUGGCUUAGAAGCAGCCAUCAUUUAAAGAAAGCGUAAUAGCUCACUGGUCGAGUCGGCCUGCGCGGAAGAUGUAACGGGGCUAAACCAUG